rnacentral:lncRNA from 1 species
UUGAUAUACUUAGUUCAGUGACAUUGAUUUCAACAUAUGAACAUAUGCUUCAAGAACCGAGUCAAGUGCGGGCAAAGGGGUGCGGAAAAUGGCUCAAAGGAGGAAAAGAAAGAGCAUUAGGGAGGCCAAAAAAACAGAAACCGAGAAUGUGUCGUGGAUGUGGAAAAAUUGGACAAGCACAUGAUAAAAGAAAUUGUCCAAUGCUUCAACUCAGGUAACAAAUAUUUUUAUUUCUGUUUUAUCAUUUUAAUUUGAUUUUGGCAAAAUUAUGAAUAUAUUUUUUAUUUAAUGUGAUUUUAUUGAAUUUUUUGUAGGUCGUCCGUAUGCUCUGAAGAUUCCAAUUCAAAUGCAAGUGAAGACGAUGGCGCAAAAUUAUUCAUUUACUUGAUUGACUACUAUUUUUAUUUUUUUGACUAUGUAAUGACUAUUCAAGUUGUGUGUAGUUAACCAAGGUUUGUUAAUUCACUAAUGUUUUAUUGGCCAAAUGUAAUGGCUAUUGACUACUAUUUUUAUUUUUUUUACUAUGUAAUGGCUAUUGAAGUUAUGUUUUAUUGACCAUUUUAUUUAUUUUCGAUGGUAUGUAGAGAGAAAAGAGAAUACCUGGUAUGGAGAGGGAAGAGAGAAGAGAGAAUAAUUGAUAAGUUUUGUUUGGAUAUAUAAGUUUUGUUUUUUUGUGAAGAGAGAAUACGUGGUAUGUCUUGUUUGACUUUAGAUAAUGAUUGCAGUCCGUUUGAGAGCUUUAUUCUCUCUCUCUCUCUCUAUAUAUAUAUAUAUAUGGGAGAAGGGAGUGUCUUAGACACACAACCUUACGAGUGUCCUAUCAUUUAAAGAGAUUUUAUUAAUGGUAUUUUUGGCAUUUCACCAUUUUCAUUAAUGGUUGUUAUGACAUU